UACGUAGGGUGCAAGCGUUAAUCGGAAUUACUGGGCGUAAAGCGUGCGCAGGCGGUGAUGUAAGACAGAUGUGAAAUCCCCGGGCUCAACCUGGGAACUGCAUUUGUGACUGCAUCGCUAGAGUACGGUAGAGGGGGAUGGAAUUCCGCGUGUAGCAGUGAAAUGCGUAGAUAUCUGGAGGAACACCGGUGGCGAAGGCGGCAUCCUGGACCAACACUGACGCUGAUGAGCGAAAGCCAGGGGAGCAAACGGG
rnacentral:rRNA from 1 species